CCUACGGGGAGCAGCAGUGAGGAAUAUUGGUCAAUGGGCGGGAGCCUGAACCAGCCAAGCCGCGUGAAGGAAGAAGGCGCCAGGCGUCGUAAACUUCUUUUGUCGGGGAACAAAGGGCGCCACGCGUGGCGUUGUGAGUGUACCCGAAGAAAACGCAUCGGCUAACUCCGUGCCAGCAGCCUCGGUAAUACGGAGGAUGCGAUCGUUAUCCGGAUUUGUGGGGUUUAUGGGGUGCGUAGGCGGUCCGGAAAGUCAGCGGUAAAAGGCCGGGGCGCAACCCCGGCGAACCGUUGAAACUGUCGGACUAGAGACGGCGAGAAGUACGCGGAAUGCGCGGUGUAGCGGUGAAAUGCAUAGAUAUCGCGCAGAACACCGAUUGCGAAGGCAGCGUACCGGCGCCGGACUGACGCUGAGGCACGAAAGCGUGGGUAUCGAACAGGAUUAGAUACCCGAGUAGUC
rnacentral:rRNA from 1 species